UACAGAGGGGGCUAGCGUUAUUCGGAAUUAUUGGGCGUAAAGGGCGCGUAGGCGGCCACGCGUGUCUUUCGUGAAAUCCCUCGGCUUAACUGAGGACGUGCGGAAGAAACUGCGAGGCUUGAGUCCGGGAGAGGGGGGGGGUGGAAUUCCCAGUGUAGCGGUGAAAUGCGUAGAUAUUGGGAGGAACACCGGUGGCGAAGGCGGCCCCCUGGACCGGUACUGACGCUGAGGCGCGAAAGCGUGGGGAGCGAACAGG
rnacentral:rRNA from 1 species